GAACGCAAUACGAUAUUUGUUUUUAGUAACUCGUAGUGUUUACAAACAUCGCAUGGCUAUAAGCGAGGAACGCUAUCUCACUCGAAUUCUCUGUUUCUCGUGUUUCUCUGUUUCUUUAAUGCGCGCAUAAAAGCGAACGGUGUCAAAUUACAUUAGUCAAUUCUUGGAAAUCCUUUUCGGUUAUUCGGCGACUAUUCGGCACAAUUCGGUAUCGGUCGGAACCGAUCGUGGCCUUCUAUGCGAACAUUACCGUAUUCCCCUUGCCUCUCAACCGUCCAGUAGGACUUCUUUUCAGUAAUGCGUGGUACUUUCUCGAACGUAGACGCGUUCCAUUUCCAAUCGACUCGUUUCGAAUAUCGAACAAUAACGCGUUAUUUCGUGCCAUGUUCAAAAAUUGAAUCGAAUUGAAGACGUCCUGUCGAAAGAAGGUUAGUCGGUUGGUCAUUGUCCUAGAAGCUUUAUAGUUAAACUUGCGGGAUCAGAAAACGGAUUUCCCCGCGUGUCCGCGAAUUUCGCAGGAGGAGUUGGGAGAAACGGUGGGAGGUCGACAGAGGUCGUAAAACGGUCGAAUGUUUUCUGUCCGAGUUUGCGUAGAAUCUUCUCCACGGAAGAAUUGUGAUCGAACAAAGAAGUAUUAACCUCGAAGCCGAUUUUCCGAUCGAAGAUCAUCGAGAAGCGGUCAUCGAUUCGAAGAUUCGAAUCGAAAACUCGAGUCGAAAUAAACGAAGACGAUACUCAUUGCCAUCUGUGAUGCGCGAAUCGAGGAAACGACGAGAUCGCGCAGAAACGCGAAAAACAUUUUACGAUCGCGCGAAUCGAUCGACAACAAUGGCGCGAUCGAGCUCGAACCGCAUUUCGUGAAUGCGCGCGCAUGCGCGCGCGUAGUCCCUUUGAAUGACGCGGUCCGGUUUACCUUCGAGACGCUGAAGCGUUUGCGAAACAUGUUGAUGCGUUGGAAGAGCAAGGACAAGAGCUCUAGCAAGAGCUCCUCCGCCGGUCCCAGUCUUGGCAAGAAGAAGCGUAAAUUCGGCAGAGAAGAACAAAAAGACACUUCGAUGAGAAUCACGAUACCUGUAUGCGCGUCGAAAAGGACCCAAGCUUCUCACCUGUCGCGUCCUCAUCUCGCGGGGCACGGUGCAUCUCAGGGAGAGCAGGUUGACAGGCGGAGGAGCUGGCUACACCCCUGUGACCGUUCCCCGACGCUUGCGCGCAGGUUGCAUACCCCCCUGUUCCUCCUUCUUUGCACCUCAAACCCCCGCAACCCGUUCUCCUUUCCACUCCUUUCCGCCCGCCCCACACACCCCCUCCCUCCCCCUGUCCCGCUUCUUCUUUCUCUUCCACCGCAUUCCUCUUCCUCGCCAGCCUUCUUCUCAUAUCCUCCUAUCCCGGGUGUGUACACCCCCCGCGCGUGCUUCCGCUAUCGGCAGUAGUUACGAUACCACCACUAGUGUACUAUCAGUGGCACCUCCGCUAGCAGCAGCAGCAGCAGCAGCAGCACAGCAGCAGCAGCAGCGGCGGCGGCCGCCGCCUCCAAUCUGUCCCACCCUCGGCGGCGCUCUGCCUCCUGCCGAGAACAGUUACGUCGCAUCGUUCCCUCGCGUAAGAUCGUUAUCGCCGAUCUG